rnacentral:rRNA from 1 species
UGCGAACUCCUACGGGAGGCAGCAGUGGGGAAUUUUGGACAAUGGGGCAACCCUGAUCCAGCAAUGUCGCGUGAGUGAAGAAGGCCUUCGGGUUGUAAAGCUUUUUUGUCAGGGAAGAAACGGUAGUAGCUAAUAUCUAUUACUAAUGACGGUACCUGAAGAAUAAGCACCGGCUAACUACGUGCCAGCAGCCGCGGUAAUACGUAGGGUGCAAGCGUUAAUCGGAAUUACUGGGCGUAAAGCGUGCGCAGGCGGUUGUGUAAGUCAGAUGUGAAAUCCCCGGGCUCACCCUGGGAAUUGCAUUUGGGACUGCACGGCUAGAGUGUGUCAGGGGGGGGUAGAAUUCCACGUGUAGCAGUGAAAUGCGUAGAUAUGUGGAGGAAUACCGAUGGCGAAGGCAGCCCCCUGGGAUAACACUGACGCUCAUGCACGAAAGCGUGGGGAGCAAACAGGAUUGGAUACCCGAGUAGUCCAGAUG